rnacentral:rRNA from 1 species
GAUGAACGCUGGCGGCGUGCCUAACACAUGCAAGUCGAGCGAUCGGACGCGAAGCUUGCUUUUCUGAUGUUAGCGGCGGACGGGUGAGUAACACGCGUAUAACCUACCUAUAAGACUGGGAUCACUUCGGGAACUCGGAGCUAAUACCGGUUAUUAUUUUGAACCGCAUGGUUCAAGAGUGAAAGCCGGUCUUUCUGUCACUUAUAGAUGUAUUCGCGCUGCAUUAGCUAGUUGGUAUGGUAACGGCUUACCAAGGCAACGAUGCAUAGCCGACCUGAGAGGGUGAUCGGCCACGCUGGAACUGAGACAAGGUCCAGACUCCUACGAGAGGCAGCAGUAGGGAAUCUUCCGCAAGGGGCAAAAGCCUGACGGAGCAACGCCGCGUGAGUGAGGAAGGUCUUCGGAUCGUAAAACACUGUUAUUAGGGAAGAAGAGAUGUGUAAGGGACUGUGCACAUCGUGACGGUACCUAAAGAGAAAGCUACGGCUAACGACGUG